rnacentral:lncRNA from 1 species
GCGCGCCCCGUUGCACGCGCUUUCCACUUACAGGAGCAGAGAGAGAGAGAGAUGCUUCAGGCAAAGGGGGGGGGUCUUGAAGACACCCACCCAUCCACAAAAUUAAUUCCGCUCCUGGGAAGGUGUCUUACAUUGGCCAGGACUGCAAAGCAAUUCCAGAAUUCCUUGGGACAAAAUACGGACACAUCGCAAAAAGGCUGGACCUCAGCUUCAAUUUAUUAAGAUGUUUAUUGUGGACCAACUGAAAUUAUGGAUUGGAUUGAGACAGACCUAUCUCUUCUUGAAAGUCUGAAGUGAUGAAGCUACCACAACUUCCAAAGGCAACUUCUUUUCCAUUGGUUGACUGUUCUAGUAUUUUACCUGAUCAUUCUCAUAUUCUCCCCUCCAUUGUCUUUCUUGAUAUGUGUUGGAUCUGAGGAUUUAGAAAGCUGUUGCUUCUCAGAUUCAAGUUUUUGUCUCUCCCUACAAUUCUAUGAAUUGAGUAAAAAGUUAACCAAGGUGUAGUCAUUUGUAUUACAGUCCCAGGCCA